UACGGAGGAGGCAAGCGUUAUCCGGAAUUAUUGGGCGUAAAGCGCACGUAGGCGGUUUGCUAUGUCGGAUGUGAAAGCCCUUGGCUUAACUGAGGAAGUGCAUCCGAAACUGGCAAGCUAGAGUACCAAAGAGGGUCGCGGAAUUCCCGGUGUAGAGGUGAAAUUCGUAGAUAUCGGGAGGAACACCGGUGGCGAAGGCGGCGACCUGGGUGGAUACUGACGCUGAGGUGCGAAAGCAUGGGGAGCAAAAGGG
rnacentral:rRNA from 1 species